rnacentral:rRNA from 1 species
AUUGAACGCUGGCGGCAGGCCUAACACAUGCAAGUCGAGCGGAUGAAGGGAGCUUGCUCCUGGAUUCAGCGGCGGACGGGUGAGUAAUGCCUAGGAAUCUGCCUGGUAGUGGGGGAUAACGUCCGGAAACGGGCGCUAAUACCGCAUACGUCCUGAGGGAGAAAGUGGGGGAUCUUCGGACCUCACGCUAUCAGGUGAGCCUAGGUCGAAUUAGCUAGUUGGUGGGGUAAAGGCCUACCAAGGCGACGAUCCGUAACUGGUCUGAGAGGAUGAUCAGUCACACUGGAACUGAGACACGGUCCAGACUCCUACGGGAGGCAGCAGUGGGGAAUAUUGGACAAUGGGCGAAAGCCUGAUCCAGCCAUGCCGCGUGUGUGAAGAAGGUCUUCGGAUUGUAAAGCACUUUAAGUUGGGAGGAAGGGCAGUAAGUUAAUACCUUGCUGUUUUGACGUUACCAACAGAAUAAGCACCGGCUAACUUCGUG